AACCCCUGUGAACAUACCACUUGUUGCCUCGGCGGAUCAGCCCGCUCCCGGUAAAACGGGACGGCCCGCCAGAGGACCCCUAAACUCUGUUUCUAUAUGUAACUUCUGAGUAAAACCAUAAAUAAAUCAAAACUUUCAACAACGGAUCUCUUGGUUCUGGCAUCGAUGAAGAAACGCAGCAAAAUGCGAUAAGUAAUGUGAAUUGCAGAAUUCAGUGAAUCAUCGAAUCUUUGAACGCACAUUGCGCCCGCCAGUAUUCUGGCGGGCAUGCCUGUUCGAGCGUCAUUUCAACCCUCAAGCCCUCGGGUUUGGUGUUGGGGAUCGGCGAGCCCUUUGCGGCAAGCCGGCCCCGAAAUCUAGUGGCGGUCUCGCUGCAGCUUCCAUUGCGUAGUAGUAAAACCCUCGCAACUGGUACGCGGCGCGGCCAAGCCGUUAAACCCCCAACUUCUGAAUGUUGACCUCGGAUCAGGUAGGAGAUA
rnacentral:rRNA from 1 species